rnacentral:rRNA from 1 species
GUGACGCCGCGUGUGGGACGAAGGCCUUCGGUCGUAACACUGUCAGUGGGAAAGAGGGGUGUCGGCGCCGAUAACCGCCGGCGCCUGACGGUACCUGCAGAGGAAGCCCCGGCUAACUCUGUGCCAGCAGCCGCGGUAAGACAGAGGGGGCAAGCGUUGCUCGGAAUUACUGGGCGUAAAGGGCGCGUAGGCGGGAUGGCAAGUCGGUCGUGAAAUCCCUCGGCUCAACUGAGGAACGUCGAUCGAUACUGCCGUUCUUGAGGAUUGCAGAGGAGACUGGAAUUCCCGGUGUAGCGGUGAAAUGUGUAGAGAUCGGGAGGAACACCGGUGGCGAAGGCGGGUCUCUGGGCAAUUCCUGACGCUGAGGCGCGAAAGCGUGGGGAGCAAACGGGAUUAGAUACCCCGGUAGUCCACGCUGUAAACGAUGACGACUAGGUGUGGGGGGGUUCAGUCCCCUCCGUGCCGCAGCUAACGCAUUAAGUCGUCCGCCUGGGGAGUACGGCCGCAAGGUUG